CCUUUCUGUGGGAACACUGCUUCAACAAGACCACUUCAUCUGGACUGCUACCACCACCCACAGAGUAUCAGGAAUAAGAUUUCAUGAGAGAAAUGAAUCACCUUGGCUUUUAUUUGGGCUCCACAGCAUGUCCUCUUCCCUCAACACCAAUUCUGCCUUUGGGACUUACAUAAGAACAAACCACAUUGCCCUGCUCUCUGUCCUGCCCUAGGUGCUGCCAUCAAGUUUUUGAAGAAGUCAUCUUAUGUCUGCUCUAAAUAGAGGAUAUUCAGCUCCUUUGAUGGAUUUGGCAAGGAUAAGUGAAGCCAUCAUGUCAUUGACACUUUUUCAAAUAAUAACCCUCCUUGCUGACUUGAUGGAUUUGGAAGUUUCUGCCUUGAUAGUUAACAGAAAAUAUUUUGAAGUGCUCUUGCUCUUCUUCUCAUUUUAUUUUUUCCACACAUUUUAUGGCCCUGAGAAAUA